rnacentral:lncRNA from 1 species
CAAUGUGUUCUUGCUACUGAAUGAAAUGCAUUUUUUCUUAUUUCUGCAGGGAAUGUCUGUCAUUUGAAGGAUUUUGUCAUGUCUUAACUUUCAUAGAAGAACUAGUGGCUAAAGUACCUUCUGGAUGCUCGGCAUUAUACCAGAGAGGAACUGCUAAUACAGCAGAACUAAAGAAGCUUAUAAGCCUCUGUAAUAAAGGUGACAACUUGGCACAAGAAAACUUCGAGACAUGUGAAGCGCUUGUCCUUUAUCAACUUCAAAAAUUAUUGCAAAAUACAAUGAAUGGGUGCCUUUUACAAGAUAAAAUGCUUAAUGACAAAAGGGAAAGACUGAAUGAAGAACAAAGCAGAUCUGAAUUGGUAUCUGAUUUUACUAAGAUUUGGGAACGUUUAAGCAAACAUAUCUUAUUCUUGCAAAAGUAUCACAUUUUACUCAGACAAGAAGUGAAAGACAUGUUUGGUACCCUAUUGAUUUUGGAGAGUCAUAAACAAGAAACCCCGGUCAGUAUGUUACCUAACUUCUUGUGUGUUUGGGUAAUGCCAGGGAAUGAUACCUGGUGAAUGAUUUUCAGAUGACGGAAUUAUAUCUCUGUGUGUAUAGCAGUAAUUUUAAAUAUAGACCAGGUAAUGUGCUUGCUGAAAGGGUG